rnacentral:piRNA from 1 species
UAACCACAUAAAAAGACCGAUCAGCAUCCA